rnacentral:misc_RNA from 1 species
CACAGGGUGUGCGAUAAUAACACCUUCCCCCUCCUUUUUUUUUUGGCUGGUAACACCGCCAGUGGGCCCUGGAACGGCGGCAAGAAAGGAGAAAGGAAGGACGAAGUUGGAAAGAACACCGGCGCUCAUCAAGGUUGAAGGGGCGCAGUGUGGCAGCACCUUAAUGCUGUUGUGCCUUGAUACAGUGGAGGAGCAGCACGUGCCACGGUCAGUCAUCCAAAGCGGAGUUGCGCGCCGUCGCAUCUUCCUUCUCUUAUCCUCACUUGUCCGCUCUAUUCUCCCCGACCGUGUAUGUCUGUCUGUGUGUCUGUGUGCGUGUUUGCGCACCCGCAGAUAGGCGUGCAUCUGAUCUCAUCUCCCCUCCCCCUCGGCCAUCUCGGGUGGCGUGUGCCUUUCCUCAUCUUCUAGAUGCACGUGUAGCUUGUCCCUCACCCCGCCCCACAUACACUUAUUUUGUUUUUGAUUGUUUUUCGAGGGACCUCCUGGCGGUCGUACACACACGCUCUCUUCGCCCCUCCCCCUCCCCCUUUUCCGUUGGGGGCGGGUCACACUUAUCGACGCAAGAGCUUUCCGUUGCUGCCUUUUCCUGGUUGUGGCUUUCCUUUUCCGUCAGCGCCUGCCGACUGGACCGUCUCAGGCCUUGACCUUCGUUGUUGCUGCUGCUGCUUCCCGUCCGCGAAUUCACGUAUCUUCACAACUCGACCACACCGCAGCGGUCACUUGUAGUUCUGCUGCUGCGGCAGCCGCUGUUACUCGAGUUGUGGUAUGAUCGCUUUCGUUUUGUUUCUUUCUACUUUCACUUUUCGUCUGUGUGUGUGUGUCUAAGUCGGACGUCACUCCUCCCCCUCUCCCCUUCUCUUCCGUGCUAGCCGCGUGGUGCCAAGGCUUGUUUCUUUACCUCUCUGUAUCUGAAGACUGUGACUGCCUCUUUCUCAGUAUUUAGUAUCGCAACCUAUCCUCCCCCAACUCCUGCUCUCUUUUUGCAUUUCUCUCGCUAUCACCGCCAUGUCGUGGCCGCGGGACCCCUUUGUCUCCGACGGCAGCUACACGACGCCGCUGCCACAGCAGCCGUGCGAGGCGGCCCUCUGGCGUGCAGUCACUAGCCUCUACCAGUACUCCUCACUAGAAGCGCUGCUGAAGGUGAGAGGGCCUGCCGCGACAGCUGCGCCAGCAUCUCCAAUGCCCGCUGACUGUAAGCCUGCCUCCGCGGCGGAGGCGCCGCAUGCCGGCGCUCCUGAGGAGGUGAAGGGCAUUGCUGUACCGUGUAGCAGAGUUUCCGCUACCUCAUCACCAGCACUGGCGACGAGGGCCGAGGUGAUGGUGCGGCGUAGCGCCUUCAUCGCGGCGGCCGAUGCUGCCAUGCCACUGCGCACGCCCUCUCCCUCCUUAACACCCUCCGUGGCCUCGCCGCUUGCGACGUCUGUGGCGGCGAAUCUAGAGAAUCCACCUGCGCUGCCCCUCCCACGUUCGCCAACCGCACCCACGGUGGCGUCGCGGCUGCCUCGCAGCCGCUCCGCCGGCAGCUGGAGCGACAAAGGCGACUCGCUCGCCAGUAGCCCCACGACUGCCUACAUCCGCGCCGCCUGCCGUUGCGUGCUCGAGCCGGUGCAAGCGCUUCUCACUCAGUUCAAUGCCGAUAAGCUCCACGUCGGCGCCAGUGUCGUAGACGUGGCUGUGCAGCACCCCCUUCCGUGCCUCCGCGUCGAGCUGGUGCGGCUCUUGCUGAUGUUCAAGCGGUGGAACUGGUCCAUGUGCGCGCCGGUGGCCGUUGCCGCCGGCGUGGGUGACAUGGAUGUCCUGACGCGUCUUCUCUCCGUUGAAGAGCUGGAGCCCAACCUGGGCUUUCCCCUCAGAGUCGCCGUUCAGUGCCAUCAAAAUGAGCAAGUGCUGCCCUUUUUGGUCUCUCAUCACCGCAUUAAGCCCAACUAUGGCAGUGCCUUCUAUGCGGCCGUUGUCAUGGGCAACACCGAGGCCAUGCACAUCCUCGGCGCUGCUGCGGGGGUCGACGUGAACCACUUUGUCAACAGCGAGGGCACGUCGGCGCUCUUGUACGCGCUACGCCAGUUCCUCAUGUGUAGCUCCAUCGCGGCAGCAGCGCAGCAGCCACCGCCGACCACCGCUUCGGCGGCGCUACACAGCCGGAAGCCCCAGCGCGGCAUCACACCGCCGUCCUUGCCUCUGCCUUCCACGGCGGAGCAAGGGGUGCGCACCAUCUCCCCGUUCCUUGCAGGUGGAGGCAGCGGUGGUGCGAGGGCGCCAGCGAAACAUGGGUUUCACAGCCCCUCAUCUGAUGACGCUGAUGGCAGCGGAGCGGCAUCUUCCUCUGCUGCAGCAGCAACCUAUGGCGGCGCCCCAUCUGCAUCGGUGUCCUCGAAAGCCAUGGGGCCGCUAUGGCAGCGCGACAAGACGCUCUUCAGGAAUGCAUCGGCCGCCUGGGCCAUGGACGAUUUACACGAGGGCGCUACGGCGGCGGCGCAUGGAGAGGACAGAGACGUGCAGCACAGCCCCGCCUUCCGACAGGACACCGCUAUUCAUCGCUUGCGGACACCGCAGCACUGGAAGGCCGUGCUGCUGUACCUGCUUGACCACCCCGCGAUCGAAGUGAACUCCGGCUUCUACACGACACCGCUUCAGAUGGCCGUGUUGGCCGGUAACGUCGAAGUUGUUGCAUGGCUCCUGCAGCACCCACAUCUUUCUCCUAACCGCUUGCCGAAGGCGGCCUCAGUGCUGCGCGACUCCUACUGCCUGGCGCAGCGGCAGUCUCUCUCCGAGGAUGCCCUGCAGCGCCUCAUCGCAACCCCAGUUGAGAUGGCGGUGCAGCUGCAUCAGGUGGAGGCUUUCAAGCUGCUCGUCCGCGACCAGCGCGUUCGAAUGCCCGUGCGGCUCAUCAUGGAUCUAGAGCGGCUGGCGUGGAGCGCGGAGGCGAUUCCAUACCUGACGAUCCUCGCGCAGCACCGCGCUGACUGGGAGGGAUGGGGCUGGCGCUCGCGUCGUCAAUGUCUGCUCAUCGCUACCGCAGCCAGCUGCGUCGUCGCGCUCUGCAGCUGGGCUGUAUGGUGUGCGUGGUAUCAUUCUCUCCAGGCAUGCGGGGUGGUGCUGCUGUGCACUUACGCUGUGCAAGUGGUAAUGACCAUCAUUCUCUUUGCGUGGGAAGCCUACACGGUUCGAGCCACUUCAUCUGCGGCACAACAGCCGGCAGCCAAGCCGGCUCCAGUGCUGGCGGCCUUCGUGCAGCACCUGCUGCCAGCCUGGUCGGGCGCAUGGCAGUGCGGCGCCUCGGCAGUGCUGUUGCUCUGCCCUGGUAUGGUGCCUGUGCUGGACCUUCUCUGCGCGUGGAGUUUAUACAAGAUCCAUCGGAGCCGACGACCUCUGCAGACAGCCGCGCGCGCCGUUUAUGCUGCACCAGCGGCGUCUCCGCAGCACAGGCCCUUCGGCCCCACUGACAGCCCCACCAGCCACGCGGGUUUGUCACACGCUUCUCGCGAACGAGUAGAUCGUGCGCGGCGCCAGUCGAUGUGGUUUUCAUCCACUGCACGCGGGUGGAGCGGCCUGUCCGUCGCGUCGAACGUCUCUGGCCACGACAGCUUUACGGAGGCGCCGUGGACGGCGAAUUUCAGCCUCAAGGAGAGCUUCUCAUGUCCUCGACCGGCGAAGGUGCGCACUCGGCGGCAGGUGUUGACCGGCGGCGGAGUUCAGAGGCGGCUUCAUACUGGCGGCGGCUCACCGGCUUCGGCAGCAGCGGAGGGUGCGGCGUCGGCCUCGGCGCACCGAGUGAUUGCGUGCACGGUCGGUCAUGCCACUGCCUCAGACGGAGAGUUUGUCUUCCGCACGGUCUCGCCUAUUGUCACCAACAGCAUCACCUUCUCGCCGUCGGUUGGCCGCCGCGAUCCGUGGGUAGUGCCUGGCCGUCCCUCUCGCUUCGCCGUCUCCACGGAGUACCACGCCCCUGACCUGACGCUGCGUGCGCUGGCGUACGUGACGUACGACUGGCUGCUUGUCGCGCCUCGAUUGCUGCUCUCGAUCGUGGGCAUCUUCAUGUUCAUGCACAUGGUCUUCCCCUCCAGCCCGCCAGCCGCGUCCUCGCCGCCGGUUGCCAUGGUUGGAGACGGAUCGGUGUUGAGGGUGGAUAGGGCGACGCCGCCUCUGUCGGCCACCGUAGUCAGCGACGGCAUCGCCACGCAAUCUAUCUUUACGUUGCACCACUGCGAUCGCCCACUCUCAGCUGUGCCGACCGGGGCUGCGGCAAUGACGGUGGAGACGAACUCCGCCGAUCUGCCGCGCUUCACCACCAUGAUGAGUCUGGUGGGUCUCUGCGGGCUGGUCGCGUCCAUCGUGAGCGGUGCGGUGCUGCUUGCCAUGGCGACCUCGCUGCGCUCCAUCACGACGCAGUCCUUCUUCGCAAGUCCGAAAAGCAAGCGCAGCGCUGACUUCGGCCGAGGCGGCGACGGUCUUGUGUUGCGCCACUGCGAAUGGGAUGGGCCGCGCCGCGCCGCUGACUCGCGCGCCGACUAGAUCAUGUGGGCUUGCCGUGGCUGUGGAAAGCGCGGCGUGAGAAGCGGGGAUAGUGGCGACGGUGGCGGCGGGAUGGGAUGACGCGGCAAGUGGAGUCUGUGGGUGAGUGUGCUGGACGCCAGUGAUCGCGCGUGAGAACAAUCAAGCAGAGGAAGACAUACCAAACAUAACUAACGCGAAGGUGGGCGUGUGGCGGCGGAGCGAAACGCGGCGCCGCUUUUUAUGGAUGGACUGGGACCUGCACAGGACAUGUGCGCUCCUAUUUACUAUCUCUUCACAGAAGGGUGAUAAGUCCUGGAGGGGAUAGAGCUUGAGGAAAGCGACGAAACGGUCCGACUUUGUCCACUGGGACCCCCUGUCCCCCUUUUCCGCGAGCGUUCAACGGGAAAGGUAUCGAAGUGGCGCGUGUGCAUCUCCCCGCAUCUUCUUCACGUAUCCCCACUCUCUCCUUCCCACUCUGCCCUAAACACGCCAACAUAUGAGCUCAAG